GGAUGUGAGGAUAAUUUGGCUGCGAUUUCUGUCAACCCAUUGAUCAACGGGGUUGAUUCGGCUGAUCUGGCUGGCUGGAUGGGUGUCUCCUUCCUCCCUCACCACUCCAUGCUUAGUCAAAGAUGGCCUUCCCUACUAGAAGAGAACCAGAUUAGUCAAGGGACUACGAGUAGCUGCGUUCCACACCUCCAAACAGUUCCUCAAAGUUACUGCGUUCAUGGUGUCUCUUCACAGCAAUAAAAACCCUGA
rnacentral:snRNA from 1 species